rnacentral:rRNA from 1 species
GACGUAGGGCGCAAGCGUUUGUCCGGAUUUAUUGGGCGUAAAGAGCUCGUAGGCGGUUUGUCGCGUCUGCUGUGAAAACCUAAGGCUCAACCUUGGGCUUGCAGUGGGUACGGGCAGACUAGAGUGCGGUAGGGGUGACUGGAAUUCCUGGUGUAGCGGUGGAAUGCGCAGAUAUCAGGAGGAACACCGAUGGCGAAGGCAGGUCACUGGGCCGCAACUGACGCUGAGGAGCGAAAGCAUGGGGAGCGAACAGG